AGUGCAACACCGAAGUACAUGGUCUACAAUUGAUUGCGCUACUUUCUUUUUGGCAUCCUGGAGAAACAAUGGAGCAUUGGCAGGAACGGACUGACGUUGCUGUUUGAUGCGCUACUUUCUUUUUGGCAUCCCUGGAGAAACAAUGGAGCAUUGGCAGGAACGGACUGACAUUGCUGUUUGAUAUUUAGUUAUCCUGUGUACUCAAUAUGAGAAUUAUGCUGUUUACUCAGUUUCACCAUCCAGUUGUCCAUUAGACUUUGUACCUCCUUAUUAAUCUCUGGAUGCUUCUGUCUGUUGCGAAGAAAAACACCGGACUGAUUUGUGCUCUGUAAUGCAUGAUGAUUUGGUGUUUCGAGUUAAAUCUAAGAAACUGUGAUCUCUGAACUUCCCUCACUUAUCUUAAUAUUAUAACCAUGGGGGUGUGUGUGUGUUGGAUAAUGUUUACUUCUUCUUUACGUUCUUCAGCUAGUCAUGAUAGUUAUCUUAUUGGCAAAGUAGAGCUGUUAUUAUCGUACUGGCAUUAUGCAAUUAUGUCCUAGUUUGUUAAUUCCUUCUGCUCGCG
rnacentral:lncRNA from 1 species